GACGAACGCUGGCGGCGUGCCUAAUACAUGCAAGUAGAACGCUGAAGGAGGAGCUUGCUUCUCUGGAUGAGUGGCGAACGGGUGAGUAACGCGUAGGUAACCUGCCUGGUAGCGGGGGAUAACUAUUGGAAACGAUAGCUAAUACCGCAUAAGAGUAGAUGUUGCAUGACAUUUGCUUAAAAGGUGCAAUUGCGUCACUACCAGAUGGACCUGCGUUGUAUUAGCUAGUUGGUGGGGUAACGGCUCACCAAGGCGACGAUACAUAGCCGACCCGAGAGGGUGAUCGGCCACACUGGGACUGAGACACGGCCCAGACUCCUACGGGAGGCAGCAGUAGGGAAUCUUCGGCAAUGGACGGAAGUCUGACCGAGCAACGCCGCGUGAGUGAAGAAGGUUUUCGGAUCGUAAAGCUCUGUUGUAAGAGAAGAACGAGUGUGAGAGUGGAAAGUUCACACUGUGACGGUAUCUUACCAGAAAGGGACGGCUAACUACGUG
rnacentral:rRNA from 1 species